UGCAAGUCGAGCGGGCCUUUCGGGGUCAGCGGCGGACGGGUGAGUAACGCGUGGGAACGUGCCCUCUGGUUCGGGAUAACUCAGGGAAACUUGAGCUAAUACCGGAUACGCCCUUUUGGGGAAAGGCUUGCUGCCGGAGGAUCGGCCCGCGUCUGAUUAGCUAGUUGGUGAGGUAACGGCUCACCAAGGCGACGAUCAGUAGCUGGUCUGAGAGGAUGAUCAGCCACACUGGGACUGAGACACGGCCCAGACUCCUACGGGAGGCAGCAGUGGGGAAUAUUGGACAAUGGGCGCAAGCCUGAUCCAGCCAUGCCGCGUGAGUGAUGAAGGCCUUAGGGUUGUAAAGCUCUUUUAUCCGGGACGAUAAUGACGGUACCGGAGGAAUAAGCCCCGGCUAACUUCGUGCCAGCAGCCGCGGUAAUACGAAGGGGGCUAGCGUUGCUCGGAAUCACUGGGCGUAAAGGGCGCGUAGGCGGCGUUUUAAGUCGGGGGUGAAAGCCUGUGGCUCAACCACAGAAUGGCCUUCGAUACUGGGACGCUUGAGUAUGGUAGAGGUUGGUGGAACUGCGAGUGUAGAGGUGAAAUUCGUAGAUAUUCGCAAGAACACCGGUGGCGAAGGCGGCCAACUGG
rnacentral:rRNA from 1 species